CCCCUCAUUUAAAAAAAAAUAUUACAUGAUCGAAAGCACUAGAAGUGGAAGCAUAACUUAACAGCUUUCUGGAGGGCAAGUUUGCAACAAGUGUGGAAGUCUUUCAGAAUGCACAGACUCUGAAGAUCUCUCUCCAGCAGUAUGAAAAUACACAUGUAAGAACAGGAGAUUGGUUAAAUACUCAUACACACAUUAUGUGGAGAAGUACUCAGCUAUAAAAAAGAAUGUGGAAGAUCUCUAUGUUACAAUUUCUCAGAGAUACUGUUAACAGCAAAGUGCAAAAGAACAUACGUAGAAAGCUACAUUCUGCUUAAGGAGGAAAAUAAGAAAACAUAUGCAUAUCUGCUUACCUUGAAAAAGGAAACAUAGGAGAUCAACCUAGAAGAAAUGACGUUGAGUGAAGUACAGGAUUAAAGGGAUAGCAGGCAGAAUGACAUUUACCAUAUAAAAGGGCAUCUAGUUCUGACUUCUGGAAACAUGUAAAUAUCAUGUGCGCACAAAGGGCAAAAUGCUCUGAGUCAUCAUUCUCCCCCCACCCUUACCCCCCAGGCUGAACACAGGAUCUGGCUGGAGGGUUUGGCAAUUGAAUAGAAUAGGAACUCAGACUUCCUGACAUCCCAACUUGCUGUCCAGACUCUUCAGAACUGGAAAGAACCAUACAGAUGUGGCCCAACCCUCCUCUCUUAACAGAUGAGAAACCAAAUCCCAGCAGGAUAAGCAACAUCAGGUGUCAAAACCAGUACUUCUGCGUCCAAGCUGGCAGGUGACGGAUCUGUGGAUGGACCAGAACCAGCACUGUUCUUUGGGAAUCUCUGCACUUCAUUAAGAAGAAUAUAGGAUCUGAUUUCACCAUAGGUGUCAGCCACACAACAAGUAACGGAAAAUAGAUCACCAGAAAGGUCUAUAUAAUAUAAAACCUUUUUUGAGAAGUGGUGGAGAGAAAAAUCUUCCCGCAGGUAACUCAUUCAUUCAUCCAUUUACUGAAUAGUCAUGAAUGGAAUAACUACCAGGGUCAGGAGCUAUGCUCCUUGGGUGGCAUUACAGGGAAGAAAAAGGGAUAUUUUUUGCCCUCAAGGAGCACACUGUUGUAGGUUAGCUUAUAGAAUGUAAUGAGUUAAACUUCUUCUGGAAUGUAAUGGGUUAACUUGCUUAUGGAAUGUACUGGAUGAUUUGUUGCAAACCAUUCCCCAGCCCCUUUUUCUAAGGUCUGUCAAGGCCACGCCUACAGAAAAUUGCUUAGUCACUGUCCCACUAUGAUUGGUCAUUUUAGAUGAACAAAGAACUAACUUGAUAGGUUCCCGCCCAAACUGGUGAUUGGUGUGUCAUAAUGUAAUUGGCUAAAAUAGAAUCCUUUGUAUGUCUAUAUAAUUUCCUUUGUUCGGAGUAAUUCUCUGCUCCUUACCAUCUGGGGUUCAGGUUUGGCCCAGCUGUAAAUAAAGUUUUGCCUCGCCUCAA